ACGGAGGCAGCAGUGGGGAAUAUUGGGUAAUGGGCGAAAGCCUGACCCAGCAAUGCCGCGUGAAGGAAGAAGGUCUUCGGAUUGUAAACUUCUUUUAUGAGGGACGAAGGAUUUGACGGUACCUCAUGAAUAAGCCACGGCUAACUACGUGCCAGCAGCCGCGGUAAUACGUAGGUGGCAAGCGUUAUCCGGAUUUACUGGGUGUAAAGGGCGCGUAGGCGGGGAAGCAAGUCAGAUGUGAAAUCCAUGGGCUCAACCCAUGAACUGCAUUUGAAACUGUUUCUCUUGAGUGCUGGAGAGGUAGAUGGAGUUCCUAGUGUAGCGGUGAAAUGCGUAGAUAUUAGGAAGAACACCAGUGGCGAAGGCGAUCUACUGGACAGUGACUGACGCUGAGGCGCGAAAGUGUGGGGAGCAAACAGGAUUAGAUACCCUGGUA
rnacentral:rRNA from 1 species